rnacentral:rRNA from 1 species
UACGGGGGGGCAAGCGUUGUUCGGAAUUACUGGGCGUAAAGGGCUCGUAGGUGGCCAACUAAGUCAGACGUGAAAUCCCUCGGCUUAACCGGGAACUGCGUCUGAUACUGGAUGGCUUGAGUUUGGGAGAGGGAUGCGGAAUUCCAGGUGGUAGCGGUGAAUGCGUAGAUAUUCGGAAGAACACCAGUGGCGAAGGCGACUUACUGGACACAUAUUGACGCUGAGGUGCGAAAGCGUGGGGAGCAAACAGG